rnacentral:rRNA from 1 species
UACGAGGGGGGCAAGCGUUGUUCGGAAUUAUUGGGCGUAAAGGGUGCGUAGGCGGUUUGGUAAGUCUGAUGUGAAAUCUAUGGGCUCAACUCAUAGUCUGCAUUGGAAACUGCCGGGCUUGAGUGUGGGAGAGGUGAGUGGAAUUCCUGGUGUAGCGGUGAAAUGCGUAGAUAUCAGGAGGAACACCUGUGGCGAAAGCGGCUCACUGGACCAUAACUGACGCUGAGGCGCGAAAGCUAGGGGAGCAAACAGG